rnacentral:tRNA from 2 species
UGGCCCGUGGUGUAACGGUAGCACAGCAGGUUUUGAUCCUGCUUGCCCAGGUUCGAAUCCUGGCGGGCCAG